UAUAUUUGCACCGCUUAAUAAUAGGCGUACAUAACAAUCAUUAAAUAAUAUUAGCAUG
rnacentral:ncRNA from 1 species